rnacentral:rRNA from 1 species
GACGAACGCUGGCGGCGUGCUUAACACAUGCAAGUCGAACGGUAAGGCCCUUCGGGGUACACGAGUGGCGAACGGGUGAGUAACACGUGGGUGGUCUGCCCUGCACUUCGGGAUAAGCCUGGGAAACUGGGUCUAAUACCGGAUAGGACCACUGCCUGCAUGGGGGGUGGUGGAAAGCUUUUGUGGUGUGGGAUGGGCCCGCGGCCUAUCAGCUUGUUGGUGGGGUGAUGGCCUACCAAGGCGACGACGGGUAGCCGGCCUGAGAGGGUGACCGGCCACACUGGGACUGAGAUACGGCCCAGACUCCUACGGGAGGCAGCAGUGGGGAAUAUUGCACAAUGGGCGCAAGCCUGAUGCAGCGACGCCGCGUGAGGGAUGACGGCCUUCGGGUUGUAGACCUCUUUCAGCACCGACGAAGCGCAAGUGACGGUAGGUGCAGAAGAAGGACCGGCCAACUACGUGCCAGCCGCCGCCGUAA